UACGAAGGGGGCUAGCGUUGUUCGGAAUUAUUGGGCGUAAAGCGCGUGUAGGCGGCUUUGCAAGUCGGGUGUGAAAUCCCUCAGCUUAACUGAGGAAGUGCGCCCGAAACUGCAGAGCUUGAAUACCGGAGAGGAUGGCGGAAUUCCCCAAGUAGAGGUGAAAUUCGUAGAUAUGGGGAGGAACACCGGUGGCGAAGGCGGCCAUCUGGACGGAUAUUGACGCUGAGACGCGAAAGCGUGGGUAGCAAACAGG
rnacentral:rRNA from 1 species